UUGGAUUUUGUAUCUUUCAGAUUUGACAAAUUCUUUGGAAACGUCUAAAGAAACUGAAGUAACGCUUAGGAAAAUACCCAGUUCACCGAAUGAAAAAUUAUCCAGUAAGGAAGACAAUGCCGAAACUAAAAAUGUUUCCAUUAACAUCACCGCUGCCA